GGAAAUUGAUGAGAGAUCUUCAGUAUUGAUGGUGAGUCUGACUUCUGAGAUGAAUCAAUCGGCUUCAUUGGAGUAAUUCCUUACUCCCUAUUCUGUGUGCCCCCUUUUCUUGCUCUUAUAGGGUGUAUUUAUAGGCUUUGGAAUCCUUAAGAGCCCUCAAAAUUAGCCUUUUCCGAAUUGGACUCAACUUGGGCUCGGUAGGGACACGCCCGUUUGACACGCCCAUGUGCGAUUACUUCAGGCCGUGCUCGAGCCUGCCAAAUUGAC
rnacentral:lncRNA from 1 species